rnacentral:rRNA from 1 species
UACAGAGGGUGCGAGCGUUAAUCGGAAUUACUGGGCGUAAAGCGCGCGUAGGCGGCUUUGCAAGUCGGGUGUGAAAUCCCCAGGCUUAACCUGGGAACUGCAUUCGAGACUGCAUUGCUAGAGUAUGGGAGAGGGAAGUGGAAUUUCCGGUGUAGCGGUGAAAUGCGUAGAUAUCGGAAGGAACAUCAGUGGCGAAAGCGAAUCUCUGGGCAGCAACUGACGCUGAGGCACGAAGGCCAGGGGAGCAAACGGG